GUGUGUAACCGCCACUCAUGCGUUCAAACCAAUUUAACUAGUAUGUUUUAUUCCUUAUGAACCAUAUGCCCAAAUCCAACUCUUACCGAAAACAAGGUGGCCCUUAAGAGUUCAUUCAUCUCAUUGAAUCUUGUGAUUAAAAAUUAUGGAAUGGUGUAGUUUUCUUGGUCGAGCGACUCAUUGUUUUUGUGAUGACGCAAAAACAAACAAACUUACAAACACAAUGUCGAGUUGUUCGACUAAAAUUUACUGAACCCAAGUCUAACGAUCCUAGCCCACCUCU